GGUGGGAUGGCUGAGCUGGUUGAAGGCGCCGCUCUCGAAAAGCGGUAAGGGUUGAAAGCCCUUCGAGAGUUCGAAUCUCUCUCCCACCGCAA
rnacentral:tRNA from 1 species